ensembl:lncRNA
UGGGGGUCCGCGGUACGGCGCCGUGAGCGCGCCGCCCGGGAAGGCUUCCGGAGGCCGCACCUAGCGGUAAAGUUCGCGGCGGCCGCAGCUCCCAUCCCGGCUGAGCCACGGCUGCUGGGACUCUGCCCCCGCCGUGCCGGGGAACCGCCCGUCCUCGCUGCGGGAGGAAGCGCCGCUCACCUGCGAGCAGCCGGGCGGAGUUUGGGGGUCCUCUGCCUCGCCUCUGGUCCGGCGCCGGCGGGACUGGGGCGCUGGGGAGGACGGGAGGAUCUGCCCGCUCCCGAUUGCUAAACUGCUAAGCGAGAUAAUGACGAGAGGAAAAGGAUUGACGAAUGGCUUGGGUGGGGACAGGUGAUUUCAGGGGUAAAUAUGCGCGGCGCGGUUGGGCGAGGAGAGGUGCGGGAGCCGAUAGCCGCCUGCAGAUGUUUGGGGAAGGUAAUCCCCCGGCCGGGGGUGGGGUUUGCUCAGAGCAAAAAGGCACGAUGAAGAGCAACGGGAUUAAACGAGUGAGAGGGACGCGUUUAGUGAGAUUACGGGGCGGCAGACCCCCCAGACCCUCCCCGACGCUGGAUCAGUAGAUCAGAUCAUUCGGCUCGCUGGCUGCAAGGAGCGCAGCAGGACGGGACAGCAGCUCCUGCCUCUGCAGCAAGCGGGAGGCUCCUCUGCCCCCGGCACAGACACCUCUCGGUCCUGGGCUCGGCCCGAGUGGGGUUAAGAAGCGAGCCUUUGCCCCUCUGUAGGAGCAGGGAGCCAAGCAGCACGCCUCAGCGCUGGCUGGGUGGCUGCCAUCGCACGGACAACAGGUAGGUGGUCGUGCCAGAGCCCGGGGCAGCUUUGUGGCGUGCCUGCUACGUUGCUGUAUUCCAAUCCCGUAUUCCGAUCAGCCCGGAGAUUUUACAGCCUUUAAAGUCUGUAGUGAGUUUCUUCAAAGAUGAAAUGCGCCGCUGCGAACACGCCUAUGCCGGCUCUGCAUUGGAGCCGUGUGGCUUUGAAGCUGGGUGAGCGCCUCCUGUCCUGAGGGCUGCAGGGCUGAGCUGGACAGGGUGUAAUAGCACGCUGUCAGCUCCGGCUCCUCAUUCAGCAGUGCCCGGCAGCAGCCAGCACACCCGGUAAUGCUUGCUCACUUCUGAGGGAAGAUUGUACCCUGAUCCCCAGGCUCGGGCUCACCCCGCAGCAGAUAGUGCUCUUCUUUAAACGUUAAGUACUGUGGCGGAUGAGUCCAUCCUACUGCUUCCUGGGAAGAAAAGAUGUGUUACUAACAUGGGAAAAUCUGUCCUUUCACAGUAAUUGGGUGUAAUAACAUCUUACGUGUCCCCUUUCAUCCUGCAGUGCUGCUGAUGCCUUCUCCAGACGAGACGCCCAAACAAGGCAGCUACCACCGGAACAGAGCAAGACAACUUGUUUAUCAGACAGAGGAAUGCUCCUCAGCAGUGCAGGGCAGGAGGAAGAGGGGGCUGCUGUCUCCAGGCCCAGCGUAGGCAGUUCAGAGAUGGCCUGCAUUGUUCUACAUCAGGAUAACGAGGCGCUUCCGCAGCCCCUUUCCUGUGGGAAUCCCAACAGGUUGUUGUCCUCCCCCUGCAGGAGGGGAAGUGUGGCACCAGGGGGGUGAAAUGUCCCAUCUGACAGAUGUCUGCACUAAGUAGUACGUUCUUCUCUCCGCCUUCGGUGCUUUUCCUAGUCUUGAGCACCAGCCUUCACCUCUUCAGCCUUCCCUCCCACGGUAGAUGCAAGCAAUGUGCGAGAUAUCUCCUAAGAAUGGAGAAAUGAGACAGCUCAACGCUGCGAUUUAGUAACAGAAGCAAAAGGGGACGUUAAUGGAAAACGAUUGCAGCUCUGAGUAAGACCCAAGAUAGGAAUUUCCCUUCUCUGUAAGAAAUCAGCUCAGAUUCUGCUGAUUGGGAUGCUCGGGAAAGGAUAUGACUAGCUCAGUGGCAGGGGCUCUCUUCCUAUAAACUGCAGAGCAAGCCAGGAUAACCAACUUGCACUUCGGCUUUGUCAGACAGACCUCGCCUUCCUUCCACAGUGAGUCCUACAGGGAGGUGAACCCAGCCAGACUGAUUCACUGAGCCCUUCCAGGUGUGUGCUCAGCCAUCCACUGGCACGAGCACUGGCGAGGGCAAAGCAAGGGCCAGGCUGGUGCACAACACCAUGCUUUUUAGGACCCUGUUCCUGCAGGUCUCUAUCCACAGAGAGUAAGGCUUGAGAAGGAAGGAAGGUGCAGGUGCACGCCUGGACCUCAUCCCAGUCUGGCUUUGGGCGUCGAUGGAGUGACUGCUGUCAGUUGUGAGGGUCACUUCUGCACACAUACAGCCCCAGCUACCAAUUCCUGAGCACCUAAAUGAGAGAACCAUGCUCUCGCAGUUUGCUGGCAAGAUAUAGCCAGCAAAUUCUGGCAGUGAAUGUGGAUGCUGGUAUAUAAAGAGAGGAUUCUGCCAAUGGGACUAAAGGGUGUUGGUGCUUUUUCCAGUGCAGGUUAUUUGGCUUCGAGUACUAGUAAAAGUUGCACUAAUAAAAUGCCUCUAUUGUGUGCAGACUCUAUCUACAGUGGGAGUGUUUGCUGGUAUCACCAGAUCCUAUAUCAGUAACUUUUUAAGGGCAGACAAGGCCACAGGAGGAGGGGGUAGGGGGGCAGCACCAGGGGCUGCUGAGGCUGAGGGGAGGACUUCUGCAUGACAGGGAUCAGUAUUGCCCCUGCAAAACACUAAAAAUGCCUCAAAGCAAAGGGCCUGCCACCUGUGCUUGGUCCAGGGCUUUGUGUGGCUAGCUUUGUGGGUCUAUCAGGACAGAGAACCCUUCCAAAACACACAGUUAGGGAACAACGAGUGCAACUAAAGGGGCCUGCAUCAGCUUUUCCACCACCCAGACCACUCACGUACUCUCCUUUGUUUCCAGGAAAUGUGAUUUCCACUCUUCCCCAGAGCUGCUGCUGGGCUCCCUGUCUCAGCCACUGUCACAAGACACACAGCAGAGUUUGUGAGAUCACUGUGGUCUGAACGGGGCUGCCUGUGCAAAACAUUUGGCUCCCAUCACCCACAGCGGGCCCAAGAGGCAGAGGGCUGUUUGUGCCACGCUCCGCAUGAAAAGCACUUUCUGUGGGCUGGAGCAGAUCACGCAGUAAGAGAGGACUUUGCCCUUUAACACUUUGCUUUCCUCUUCCCAGGCCAGCACCAGCAGUAGGACACGCAGGAGCUGUUUUGCAUACUGUAACUAAUGCCCCUGAACGCCCCUUUGUCCAUCUUGCGUCACCUGCAGUCUGAUCCCUGUCAGCUCAUGAGCACACAGAGCCUUCAAAGUUGUCUGCCAGCCGUACAGGAUGCAUUCUUAUUUCUCAGCUUUGAGCGUGUCCCAGGACUGGGACAGAGCCAGAUCACUUGCCCUUUUAUCACUCCUGCCCCCGGGAUGGCCUAAGGAGAAGGGAAGAGUGCUCUGCACUGUGUGACACAGAAGGAAGUGUAGAGCCCAGCUUUGCCUUGGCCACCGCCCCGGUGAGCAAGCAGCACAGCACCACCAGCUUGUUCGUCCAGCAACGGAGACAGGUGAUACCAAGUCCUACCUCUGAGUCAGCAAGGAGCAUGCAGUGAAGAUACAGCCUUUUCCAGUAACUGGGAUUUUGCCUCACCUGCUGAUCAGCUGCCUUGUCACAAGAGGAAGUCCUCUGAUAUCAGCGUCUUGGAAUUUUUUAAUUAAGCUUUGUCCUGGCUCCGUGGCUUUCCUUUGACUUCUCUGCCCUGGUCGGCUCACCCAGCUGCAAAGUACUUUCUACUGCUGAUGUCCUCCCAUUUGCAGGCUCCCAGUCACAGCUUCUGCUUACGCCUUAGGCUUGGCUGCUGAGGAGUCUCUUUCUCACUGCCACAGCUCUAGCAUGGUCCAAGCACAGUAUAAAGCAUCACAAAGCAGCAGGGAAGGCUACGAGCAUAUUCUGAAAUCCACAGAGGCCCCUAAAUCAAUAAGUGUAUCCAUCUGUCCCCAGUGAAUUCAAGCUUUUCAAGUUACGGCUUCGAUUACUGUAAUUCCAAAAGAUUGCAGCGGGCAGAGGAGUAUGCUUCUCUUUUUUCUAUUUUUAUGAGCAUAUGAUAGCACUCUGAUAUGAAAUUACAUGUUUUACUGUUUCCCUUGGUAUGUACAGCUGGACACAAAGCCACCCGAGGUCAGCGGAAAGAUUGCCACCAACCUCAGAGCCUCUGGCUUAGACCCAUAAUUACUUUCUUCUGUGGUUUGUUCCAGUUCUGCACCCUUACGUGUCGAAACACAGGAAAACCCAUCUGUAAAGCCACAGGGGAUGAUACCAUGUUUAACUAGUUGCAGAAAGCUUUGUAGAUUUAAAAUCUAUAGCAUCGUUUUAAUUCUUGUUCUUCUGCAGCCCUUGAAACUUCCACCCACUUUGGUUGUUUGUGAGGACAGGCAGUAUCUCCAGGCUAUGGGCUGGGAUCAUUAUAGCUCUCGGUAGUGUGUGUGUGUGGAGUGAUUGACGCAGAUGUUUUUACAAUGGAUGCUUUAUAAAACAGCAAAAUGAAUUUCCAAUUCUCUAAGCAGGCAGCGUCGUUUGCACGAAGGCCACUUUCCAAAACACCCAUCCUCAAUCCUCCCCUUUCUGCCCAGUGUUUAUCUGUACGUCCGUCUCCCCCCGAGGCAUCAGCAGGCUGUGACAGUGCUGUUUCUCACGCACACACCCAAAACAAGGCCCUGAGCCGAUGGACUCAAGCGUCACCACAACAGCAGCAGCUUCUUUGCAGCCAGCACGCAUCCCGCUCACUGACCACCCAAAGCCUCCUCCUCCUGGGGAGGCAGGGCACGCUAACUCAGUUUUCACCCUCAGGAAUCUCCACAGCCCGUCCCCUCAGCCCCAGCUCGCCCGGAACACAGCCCACCGCAGCCCGACCCCCCGCCGCUUUCCCCGCUCACCCUCAGCAUCCACCAGCACCUCCUGCGCGACCUUCCCGCCUAAGUUCCCGCCGCGCUGCGAUUGGUCGGGAGUUGAGCCAAUAGCGGAGCCGUUGCUGGGCAGAACACGGCGGAGCGAAGAGGCGCGGCGCGAGGCACGCACGUGCGGCAGGGCCGACGCGCAUGCGCGAGCCGUCGCC